rnacentral:rRNA from 1 species
GAUGAACGCUAGCGAUAGGCUUAACACAUGCAAGUCGAGGGGCAGCACAUGAGUGGCAACACGAUGGUGGCGACCGGCGCACGGGUGAGUAACACGUAUGCAACCUGCCCAUAACUGGGGGAUAACCCGUCGAAAGGCGGACUAAUACCGCAUGACAACGAUGAUCCGCAUGGUGAUUCGUUUAAAGAUGUAUCGGUUAUGGAUGGUCAUGCGUUCCAUUAGGUAGUUGGCAGGGUAACGGCCUACCAAGCCUACGAUGGAUAGGGGUUCUGAGAGGAAGGUCCCCACACUGGUACUGAGACACGGACCAGACUCCUACGGGAGGCAGCAGUGAGGAAUAUUGGUCAAUGGGCGAGAGCCUGAACCAGCCAAAUCGCGUGAAGGAUGAAGGUAUUAUGUAUUGUAAACUUCUUUUGUCGGGGAAUAAAGUGCGGGACGUGUCCCGUUUUGUAUGUACCCGAAGAAUAAGGAUCGGCUAACUCCGUGCCAGCAGCCGCCGUAACAC